rnacentral:rRNA from 1 species
UUACCUGGUUGAUCCUGCCAGUAGUCAUAUGCUCGUCUCAAAGAUUAAGCCAUGCAUGUCUAAGUGCAAAUACAAAUAAUGUGAAACCGCGAAUGGCUCAUUAAAUCAGUUAUGGUUCAUUGGAUAACACUCCAAGUUACUUGGAUAACCGUGGUAAUUCUAGAGCUAAUACAUGCAAACAGAGUUCCGACUCGAGAGGGGAGGAACGCUUUUAUUAGAUCAAAACCAAUCGGCCGAGGGCCGCCCUCGCGGGCACCCGAAAGUCGCAUUGCCUUUGGUGACUCUGGAUAACCACUAAGCCGAUCGCACGGUCUCGCACCGGCGACGCAUCCUUCGAACGUCUGCCUUAUCAACUGUCGAUGGUAGGCUCCGCGCCUACCAUGGUCGUAACGGGUGACGGGGAAUCAGGGUUCGAUUCCGGAGAGGGAGCCUGAGAAACGGCUACCACAUCCAAGGAAGGCAGCAGGCGCGCAAAUUACCCACUCCCGGCACGGGGAGGUAGUGACGAAAAAUAACGAUACGGGACUCAUCCGAGGCCCCGUAAUCGGAAUGAGAACAACUUAAACACUCUAUCGAGUAUCCAUUGGAGGGCAAGUCUGGUGCCAGCAGCCGCGGUAAUUCCAGCUCCAAUAGCGUAUAUUAAAGUUGUUGCGGUUAAAAAGCUCGUAGUCGGAAGUGUGUCCCACGCCCCCUGUUCGUCGCCCGUCGACGCAACUCGGGGUUUGUUAGUGGGACGUCCAGCCGGUGGAUUCCCUGGCCGCGUCGUCGAGUCGCGGUGUCGCGCGUCGUUGCCCGGGGCAAGGCGGUCGCCCUUAAAAAGCGGCCGCCCCAACCCGGCACGGCUACCGCGCCCGCGGCCCUCGGCAACGGCAAAGGAUCCAUUCUACCCGAGCGGGUGGUCUUAAACGACCGCCCGCAAAGGCCGGCUCGUUUACUUUGAACAAAUUAGAGUGCUCAAAGCAGGCCCGAAAAGCCUGGAUAUUUCGCGCAUGGAAUAAUGGAAUAGGAUCUCGGUUCUAUUUUAUUGGUUUUCUGAACCAGAGAUAAUGAUUAAUAGAGACGGUCGGGGACAUUCGUAUUGCGACGUUAGAGGUGAAAUUCUUGGAUCGUCGCAAGACGAACGGAAGCGAAAGCGUUUGUCAUGUACGCAUUCUUUGAUCAAGAACGAAAGUUAGAGGUUCGAAGGCGAUCAGAUACCGCCCUAGUUCUAACCAUAAACGAUGCCAACUUGCGAUCCGCCGGUGUUCCUCCGAUGACCCGGCGGGCAGCCUCCGGGAAACCAAAGUGUUUGGGUUCCGGGGGAAGUAUGGUUGCAAAGCUGAAACUUAAAGGAAUUGACGGAAGGGCACCACCAGGAGUGGAGCCUGCGGCUUAAUUUGACUCAACACGGGAAACCUCACCAGGCCCGGACACCGGAAGGAUUGACAGAUUGAUAGCUCUUUCUUGAUUCGGUGGGUGGUGGUGCAUGGCCGUUCUUAGUUGGUGGAGCGAUUUGUCUGGUUAAUUCCGAUAACGAACGAGACUCUGGCCUGCUAACUAGUCGCUAAAAUAAAAACGGCAUCCGCAUUCGUGCUGCCGGCGACGCAAUAAAACUCUUCUUAGAGGGACAGGCGGCUUCUAGCCGCACGAGAUUGAGCAAUAACAGGUCUGUGAUGCCCUUAGAUGUUCUGGGCCGCACGCGCGCUACACUGAAGGGAUCAACGUGUGUCUCCCCUAGGCCGAGAGGCCCGGGUAACCCGCUGAACCCCCUUCGUGCUAGGGAUUGGGGCUUGCAAUUCUUCCCCAUCAACGAGGAAUUCCCAGUAGGCGCGAGUCAUAAGCUCGCGCCGAUUACGUCCCUGCCCUUUGUACACACCGCCCGUCGCUACUACCGAUUGAAUGAUUUAGUGAGGUCUUCGGACCGCCGCGCUCCCUUUCGCGCCCCUCAAAAGGCCGAUCGGGAGAUGUCCGACGGAAAGAUGAUCAAACUUGAUUAUUUAGAGGAAGUAAAAGUCGUAACAAGGUUUCCGUAGGUGAACCUGCGGAAGGAUCAA